CGGUGCUGUGGCAUGGAUGGCUUCUGCAGAAACAGAAGCUACCAACCCACCAAACCCUGGGACAGGUAUUUCCCUACAGAAGCCUCACCCCGAGAAGGAGAUGCCUUUCCCCACACGCAGCUGGUUCUACGAACACAUGGGACAUCCUUAACCUCUUCAGCCCCCUCCGCCCCGGCUUCUCGGACUCCCACAGUUUCUGAGAGGACCGCCAUCACCAUCCCAGGAUCCCCAUAUCCCACCGACGAGGAACCCCACAGCACAACACAUCUCAGGAUGGGGCUCCAGCUGUGCCCCGAUGUGUUCAUUCAAGAGAGGAGAAUGAAUGAGCGUAAGGGGGCGACUUUCCUUCUGACAUUGCCCACCACCAGCGUGUUGGAUGUGCCGUGCCAGCAGCAUUUUGUCCUCGAGCUGUGAGUGCAGGUAUGCAUGCAUACGGGGGUGUGCAGAGAUGGUGCUGAACAUCCGAGCGU
ensembl:lncRNA